rnacentral:rRNA from 1 species
GACGUAGGGGGCCAGCGUUGUUCGGAAUUACUGGGUGUAAAGGGUUCGUAGGCGGUGCGGCAAGUCGGGAGUGAAAUCUCUGGGCUUAACCCAGAGGCUGCUUCCGAAACUGCUGUGCUUGAGUGUGGGAGAGGCGCGUGGAAUUGCAGGUGUAGCGGUGAAAUGCGUAGAUAUCAGGAGGAACACCGGUGGCGAAGGCGCACACCUGGCCCGAUACUGACGCUGAGGCGCGAAAGCUAGGGGAGCAAACGGG